UACAGAGGGUGCGAGCGUUGUCCGGAAUCACUGGGCGUAAAGGGCGCGUAGGCGGUUUUGUAAGUCGGGGGUGAAAUGCUGCGGCUCAACCGCAGCGCUGCCUUCGAGACUGCAAGACUGGAGCACGGUAGAGGCGGAUGGAAUUCCCGGUGUAGCGGUGGAACGCGUAGAGAUCGGGAAGAACACCAAUGGCGAAGGCAGUCCGCUGGGCCGUUGCUGACGCUGAGGCGCGACAGCGUGGGAGCAAACGAG
rnacentral:rRNA from 1 species